AGUCAGGAAUUGGGAUCGAUUUUUUAGCCACGGUUUGCUCCCACACUCCCCGAGGUAAAAUAUUGUAUCAACGAAUGUAAUGCCAAUACGUGUGUAAAUGGUAUUGAGGGACCCCUUUAUAUGUAAAAUGAUUUUAAUUUUAGUAUGCUCAAAUUGUAAUUACAGAUGUAAUUACGUUUUUUAGUAAGGAAUUGGGAUCGAUUUUUUAGCCACGGCCUGCUAGCUGGACGUCGUCAGCUGUAGAGGCCUGCCAAAAUGUAUUGUGUGACUGAGUUAUGAAUCACAGAUGAAUCAUCAUCAUCAAUCAUAUGUUGAGAUGGUUACUUAUGGGCUUUAUUUUAGAUUUCAGCCUUUAUCAGUUCCCGAUGUUAUAUGCAAUUUAUUAUUUUUAGACUAACAUAAGUGCUAUGUAAUUUGAUUUCUGCUUAUGGGAUGAUAGAGUUAAGGGGCCGCUACUUUUUAAAUCCUGUCAGCAUUUAAGGCGUAUGUUUAACAUGGAAAAAUGUUAUGCAGGCCAUGCUGCAAGACCAAAACAUUGCACAAUUGUUUAAACAGCUUGUAACACCUGUUACUUACCACUUUAUUGUAUUAUUUUCUCUUAUUAAAAAGUAACACGUGUUACCAAACUUGUCUUAUUUCACUUUUAUUUGUCAUCCAGCCGCUAAAUAUACGUACGUGACUUUGACGUGUACACAGUAAUCCAAUAAGAGUUGCAAAUGUUGACUUUUUACGGUUAAUUUUAAUAUUUACCUCUUAAAUGCGCGCUCACUGCAGUCUGCCCCGUUGCAGAGCAUGGACAGUGCAGGCUGCGUUUGGAACUAUGGAGGGGUAUAUGAACCACGUGACCGCUCCGGCGGCGAGAUCUGAAGUUGUCGCCACUCUGUUUAAUCGACUGCUCUGGUGGCGUCAGGUGGGAGUCAGUCGAGAACAACGCCCCCCUACGGCCAAGACACUGACGGCACCUGCUCUUGACCGUUCACACAAUG